GAGUUUGAUCCUGGCUCAGGACGAACGCUGGCGGCGUGCCUAACACAUGCAAGUCGAACGAAGCUUUGAGGAGCUUGCUUUUUAAAGCUUAGUGGCGGACGGGUGAGUAACGCGUGAGCAACCUGCCUCUCAGAGGGGGAUAACGUUUUGAAAAGAACGCUAAUACCGCAUAAUAUAUCGGAACCGCAUGAUUCUGAUAUCAAAGGAGCAAUCCGCUUUGAGAUGGCCUCGCGUCCGAUUAGCUAGUUGGUGAGGUAACGGCCCACCAAGGCGACGAUCGGUAGCCGGACUGAGAGGUUGAACGGCCACAUUGGGACUGAGACACGGCCCAAACUCCUACGGGAGGCAGCAGUGGGGAAUAUUGGUCAAUGGGCGAGAGCCUGAACCAGCCAAGUAGCGUGAAGGAUGACUGCCCUAUGGGUUGUAAACUUCUUUUAUAAAGGAAUAAAGUCGGGUAUGCAUACCCGUUUGCAUGUACUUUAUGAAUAAGGAUCGGCUAACUCCGUGCCAGCAGCCGCGGUAAUAC
rnacentral:rRNA from 1 species